rnacentral:rRNA from 1 species
UACGGAGGAUGCAAGCGUUAUCCGGAAUGAUUGGGCGUAAAGCGUCCGCAGGUGGCAAUGUAAGUCUGCUGUUAAAGAGUCUAGCUCAACUAGAUAAAAGCAGUGGAAACUACAUAGCUAGAGUACGUUCGGGGCAGAGGGAAUUCCUGGUGCAGCGGUGAAAUGCAUAGAGAUCAGGAAGAACACCAGUGGCGAAGGCGCUCUGCUAGGCCGUAACUGACACUGAGGGACGAAAGCUAGGGGAGCGAAUGGG